UUGGAGAUGUGAACCGUUUCAAAUGAUUCAGUUCGAUUUGGUGAACUGGUUCAACCGGUUCACCAUGAAGAACCGGUUAAAUCGAACGAUUUGUUCGCGAAUCAAACAUCACUAAUCCUUUUAUCUAAUUUUACAAUUACAUUCAUUUCGCAAUCCGUUCCUUUGUGCCACCUGGCGGUAGUUCGUGAAUAAUUUUAAGACGUGACUGACUUGCAGUUAGCACCGCGGUAAUACCAAUUUUGGUUGUCAACCGACUGUAUGUGUGCUGUAGAUUUAUACCAAUAAUGGAUAAUAUUAAAAUGUGAACUCAUUAAAUAUUUUCUUAAGUCUCGGUGAAACAGCACAUUAAACCAACUUACACCUGUUCACUGCUGCAGUGUUUGCAUAGAGAGUGUGUUUUACAUGAGCGACACACACUUCAGUGCUCUGCAUGUGUUUAUAACUCUGACAAACAUCAAACAUGAUCAACAACUGUUUCUCACUAGAACUGAACCUACAACCAACAAAAAUGACUUUCGUCACCAUAUUGAUCUGGACUCUGACUGUUUUAUGUAGAGAAUCUAUUGGGCAGGUGACAGUGACUCAAACUCCCUCAGUGCUGCUCGCUCAAACUGGACAAUCAGUCACUGUGACCUGUAAAUCCAGCAGUGAUCCUACCUGCUGUUGUAGUGGAAAGCAGUGUCUCAAAUGGUUCUUACAGAAACCUGGAGAAGCUCCUAAACUCCUGAUUUAUGGAACAAGCAUCCUCCAGUCAGGAACUCCAUCUAGAUUCAGUGGCAGUGGAUCUAACAGUGAUUUCACUCUGAGCAUCAGUGGAGUCCAGACUGAAGAUGCUGGACAUUAUUACUGUCAGAGUUUACACUGCAGAACAGAUUCUCAUGGUGUUUGUGCAGGUGAUGUUGUGUUCACACAGUGA